GGCUCACUAACCAGCUGUGUCAGGAAGCUAUCUUCCACGCUCUCCAGGAACCUCCUAGACUGCCUUCUCUGGGCUGUGUUGUGCUUCCAGGAUAUGUCAGGGAAGUUGAAGUCCCCUACAAGAACAAGUGCCGAUGAUUUCGCAACUUUUGUCAGCUGACUGUAGAACUCCUCAUCAGUCUACUCAUCCUGGUUCGGCAGUCUAUAACAGACCCUGACCAGGACAUUAGCCUUUGAUUUACUUAAUUGUUUCAAAUAAUUUACUUAGUUUUAUUCUCAGCCUUUUGUUUGUUUUAAAGUUUCUACUUCAAAUUUAAGAAAGAUAUCUGCUAAAAUUACAUCUUUUUUUUUUUUCUUUUUUUUUUUUUUUUCCCCUGUACUGAUUGUUUCUAUUAAAGAUGUUAUCUUUUAUUACAACUAUGCUAAUACCUUCAUGCUCUUGUGAUUGCACUGGCAGCAUCAGCACAACAGAAUAUUCAGUUAAGUUAUUCCAAAUCAGAAAUGCAAAUUCCUUUUGCUCAAUCUUGAAUUUUGUCACAAAUGUUUGUGCCUAUACAGAAAUCAAGACCAACAUCUGGUGUGCAGUGUUUUUUUUCCACCUCCUGUUUUCCAGUCAGCUUCAUGGGACAGGUCAGAAGUAGAGUACUACAUAAUGAGGCUGAGAUUGUAAGAAUACAUUUAAAUAUAAUGCUGAAAACUUUCUGUGAUGUGAUUUAGCUCUUUAAAGAUGACAGUGUAACUGAUGAAGAAACAAAGACCAGGUCUUCAAAAUAUAUUACGUAUCAGUCUGUGACAAUAUUUGUUCACCUAAGAUUGGUAUGAUGCUACUGUUGACACAGAAAUAUAUUGUAUGCAGACAUACUCACAAACUAUAGAAUCAAUUCAGUAUAUGUUGACUUAGCCUGGAAAAAAAGUCAUUUCCAGACAACCAAAGAGUGUUCUUGAAAUCUCUGUAAGCAAUUUAUAAAAUUAUUUACCUUGCUCAGCUGUUAGUAGUGGAUUCAUUGUUUUAUCUGAGGCAGAAUAUAAUAGCUUCAAAGGCAGCAAAGCCUCUCUGGAAGUAUAAAGGACACAUUCAGCCUGGAUGCAGUGUAAUACAAUUUUUAUGGACUCCUUAGGUAGUAAAAGCUAUGAGUGAGGACUCUGUUGUCUGUCUUCUCAUUCUCUUCUAUUUCUUCAGUGCAUUGUUUACAAUGGAGUCCAAGAGGUAAUGGUGAUUUCUGUUUCUGGAAUGUGCUAUUCGAUGGUUUUUCUUUGAUGUACCAUGCUUAAGAAUAGUGUGUACUUGUUUGCAGAUAUACUCUUCACAGUUUCUUUGAAUCUCUUCAGCAGAUGGAGUAAUUUAAAAGGACUAUGGGACUCUAGGACAUGUGGAGGAAGAUUUUCAGUCAGUCCUUUAGGACUUGGAGAAUAUAAGAGAGAUUAAUGAGAUGCUGUUAAGAUAUUGAGUAAGCAAGACAUAACUGCUGAAUGUUACUGAAAUAAUAACCAGGCUUCUGGGAGUAAAAAGGCCUUUUCCAGCGUUUGGGGCAGGUGGGGUUUGGGAAAAAGUGAAAGUUGGUGCUUGAGCUUUAUGAAUUAAUGUACCUUUUUGCAUUUCUUAUCAAAUUUGAGGGAAGAGAUGUAGCAUACCUGUCUUUGUGCUGCUGUAGUCACUGUAUUCCUGUGACCUCUCCAAUGAAGAGUUCUGUGCAAAAAGUGCAUCUGGGGUAGAAGAGACCUCUUCCAUUCACCUUAUCCACUAGCUGUGUUUUGGAGACUAGCUCCAGGAGCUGUGGUAGUCUUUACCAUCAACAUCCCUUUGCUUGCCUACAAAAGUAGAGCCAUUUUCUACCUCACAAGAAAACCGAUAAAUUAACAGUGCAUAGUUUCUUAAGAAGAUUUACUGUGGGAGAAACUAAUUGGGAGUCUUCCAGGAGCUUGUUACCCAUCAAAUACGCAGUUUUAAAGAUCAACAGCUUGAGUAACUGGUGGCUUUUAAUGACUCUGUUGACUUCCGUGAAGACUUCCAUCAAAAGGAAAACAUUGUUUUCUUCCUGAAGAGGAAGACCAUGCCAGUGAUUGUUAAUCUCUAUUUGGAGAACAUGCAUAGGACACACAUGUGCAUAUGGAUAUGAUUCCAGUUUGAGAACCCUCAUGGAUUACCAUUUAAACAAAAAAGUCCUAAGUGAACAUACUGAGUGAUAAGCAUGACUAAUUUAGAAGCACAAAUUGUCACACCGUUUCUGUUUCAAAUAAGAGAAAUAAGCAAAUCAUUUGCUAUGAAGUCAACUUAUGUCAUGACAACCGUGUUCUCUAAAGUCAAAGGAGUGAGAAGCGAUUUAAACCAUCUAUUAUCUAAGAAUGCCUGGCAGCCUAUGCGGUCAAUAGACUCGUUGCUCACGUUUUUAUUGAGUUUCAUCUUCCUGUUUGCUGCCUUGGGCUAUUAUUUUAUACACCUGCACUCAGCCAGAAAUAUAAUGAAAAAGAAUCAAUCUCUGAAGAGAAAGUUAUCACCAGCCAAUAACAUUGGGCCACUUUCAUGGGUCCUGCAGUGUUUCAUCCAAUUGCCAAAAUGCUUUACCAUUAUAAACUGAAGAUAGUAACUCAGCUGCUCUUCCUGGAAAAAUCUUACCUUGUUGUCAGUGUUGCAAGCCCUUGCUUGUAGAAGGAUCAGCAGUAGAUUGGAAAAGAAAAAAAUAUCUAUCCUUUACUUUUUACAAGUGCUGGAGGACUAUCCAUAUGUGGCAAAAGAUGCUCUUUGGACUCCACCUUCUCAUCGCAAUGAUGAAAAUCUGAUUUGCAUGAUAUUGUACUCUCUACAUGGAAUUCAAGGAACCCUAAAGUUAUAUCCUUGCAGAAUGUUCUUGGUGAAUGACCCUUGCCUGGCUGUGCCAGUACCUCUGGCCAGGCAAAGAAGACUUCCUUUCAAAGCUGCAAGUUCCUGGGAUACCUUGGGGAUUCAGCAGAGCUUUUACCACUGAGGCUGCCAUGCUGUCACAUAGCAUUCACUUCUCAUAGAAACCAUUAAACCAAUGAAGUACUUUGCCUAGAAGUGAUAUGAAAACAGAGUCUCCGAAAUGUCUGACCAUGUUCAUCCCUCUUGGCACAGCCAGAACAGCCUCCCCAUGCCUGGAUGCACUCUGUAACAGACAUCUUAAUGCCUUGCCUUGCUCCUGCCAAUGAAGAUGUAAGUGGGGUUUCCUUAGAGCAGUGAUGCCUUCCAGCUUCCCCAGUGCGGGACCAUGCCCAAGUGAGACCAACUCCGUGGAAGCACCUGUGAUGGUUUCCAAAACACCUCCUCCCUUCUGGAAAAGAGAGAUUGCUCUGAGCAUGACCCCUCCUGCCUGCUGACAGCAAAUGCUGGUUCAACACGAAUGCCUGGAGCAGAAUUAUUGAAAAGCUUUGUACGAGACUGCAGGGCAAAUUCAGGCUCAUGGAGCUUUUCCUGCUUUGACUGAAUCAUGACAUUCAGAUUGGAAUCAUGUUUUCUCCGGUGGCAGCAACAAUGAGAUUUCUGAACCAGGUGCUCUGUGAUCUUCAGCCACACCUGGAUAUCCUCUGUCAUCAGGUGAUGGUGAUAAAAGGCAGAGUGGUGCCUGGUUUGCAGACUCCCAGGCAGGCCAGUGGGCUGGACUCAAGCACAGCAGAAGCAGGAAUUCACAGGCUCCUACACUUGCUGUCAGAAAGCACUGCAGAAAUCUGUGGAGUGGGGGCAAGAAAACAAAGCAGACCUGUCUGACCACUUGGAAACUUUCUACUUGUGAAUAUAGCUGCCAAUUCUGACACAGCCAGGGAGAAAGACAACUUCAAAAUGUGUUAUGUCUGGCUGGGAUGAGAGCCAGAUUAUUAACAGGAUGACUUGUUUUGUGAGAGUAAGUGAAAAAUUCAAUACCACCUAUGCUUUCAGUCCCCUCUCUCAGUUCUGAUGCCUGGAGUCUUUGAACUGAUAUUUGAUUAUUUAUGAAUGUAUAAUAACCAAAUAGUGGCACUAAAUUGAGAGACAUUAUCUUCACAGUUGACAUAGAGGCUCCACAACUGCCCAUUUCUCCACUUUUUUUUUAAUACACUUGAAUGACAAGCUGCUGAUAAAAAUAAAUACUUUGUGACAAGAGAAGAAAUAUGACUUGAGGGUGUCAGUGUUGGAAUGAAUAUCACAGAGGUCUUCCAUCACAGUAGUUAAAUGUGGAAUGGCAUCUAAAACUGCACAGCUCAAUAAAUUGCUAUUAUAUAGGCUAUAUUUGUAAUCAGGGGAUGCUAUCUGUAGUCUUAUAGCUGAGUACAUGUAUCAGGGCAAAAUAUUUCUAAUAUCUGAAAUGUACUGCAUCUAAGCCUCAGCUUUCAGACAACAAAGGAUUACUUUCAAACAGUAUGUCUUCACAAAUCAAUGUUUUUCUUAUCUUUGUUGGUUUAUUUUCACACUAUCUAACACUUCAUUAUUAAGCUGUACUUUCUGUGUUGUUUGUUUGUUUUUGAAUUAAUUUCAUGUAGGAUAUGGCAGAUUUAAGUUUUUGUUUUGUUUUGUUUUGUUUUCAUUUUGUAUGAGUGUUCUGUAAAUGGUAAGUGUAUAUAUACCAGGAUGGGAACACAAGUGGCACCACAAGUCAAAAAUGAUGCUGGGUAGUAAAUUUGCCUUCUAUUUGCCAUUUAGUUUUCAUUUCAUAAAUUUAUACCUAAUAAUGUUGGUUCCUUUGUAUAAAUAACCAAUAAUUAAUUUAUAUUCUUCAGUGGAACACAAUGUGUAACAUUUUCUAAACUGUUUUUUGUCCAUAUAAUUUCUUCCAUCUUUAAUAGCCCCUUUCCCCCAACUACUAAACUUUCUUCAUAGUUUGUGUUUGUCUUAGAAACACUUGCCCCUUGGUCUGAUUAAUUACUUUGUAUACAAUGCCAAUGCUUUUUAAUCCUCCACUCUUCACCCUCUUACUUAGAAUUCAUUGUUUAAAAUUUUAAUGAAGAUUUAUUAAUGGUUUUAGGACGUGUUCUUUUAUUUAUUUAUUUAUAGAAAUUGCAUUAUCUCUUUCAUAAAAUUUGAAGAGACUUAUAUGGGAUUUGCAUUAUUAAUGCUAUUAUUAUCAGUAUCAUCAUUAUUAAUUCUACCUAUUUACUUUUGCUGGUAUACUUUUUUUUUUUUUCCAUUUGAACCCUCAACUUACAAAACAUUAAAAAUACAUUGCAAUGCAUGAAUGGCAGGAAGAUUAACAUGGCUUUCCAUUUAGGCAGUGUGUCUCUAUGGCCUUAUGCUUUUCCUUUUUAACAUUACAUAGAGAAAGAAAUAUCACCUACAUUUAUAUAUUCAUUAAAUGAAAAUUCAUAAUCUAGAUGUGGAAAAGUAAGUGAAUUAAAGUUUGUAAUCUUAUAUUGCAUGCUGAAAUUUCAUAGUUGAAUCUGUGAGUUAUGCUAACAAAAAGAAACCCUGCAGAGUGAUAAUAAAUACUUUCAGUGGAAACCCAUUAGAAAUGAAAACAGAAAUAUAAACAGAAAUCUUGCUGACCAGUUUUUUCUUUUCACUUUCUGCCUCCUCUUGAAGUCUUGUAUUGCAAAAAUAUGCAAAGUGUAAUUUUGUACUAUAUAUUUGGUCCCAGAAGCACACUGCAAACAUCUAGCUCUAAAAUUACAGUGAUCUAUCUGCAGAUUUCUUUGCUCUCUAUUUUACUUCCUAUGUCCUGGAACACAAGGUUUGUUGGCCAAUAUAAAUAUAAGCCAUAUAGUUUAACUGUAGAGGCUAUUCUUACGCAUAGAAAUGCCUAAUACUUCCCUCCUGUACCCACUCAUAAUUCCCUUAACUAUGUCAAUAAUAUCCUGUGUCAGGAAGCUUGCAAGUUCAUUAUACAUUGUGCCUGAUUCUGGCAAACUAUAAUUAGUUUAAAAUUUCAAGUGAAAAGGAAAGAGCAACUAAAAAUUCCAAAAACAAAUGCAAACCAAAAAUGGAUCAAUAUAACACUUCUCUUAUUUCCUACUAAAUGAUUCUCUAUUUCUUUGUGCAUUGCAAGGUUGCUGAUGCUUAACUAGUAUUUUGGUGCUCGCUCAGGAAAUUUGCUGCACAAAAGUCAAAUGCGACCUAAGUAUUAUUAAUAAUUUGUUGUGGUGUUUGGCAACAUAUGUUUGGCAAAGAACAGGAGUAAUAAGCUUUGAAGUGCAUGCAUGUUUUGAGAGGGGAUUUUUCACAGGUGCUGAAGCUGCAUGGGUCUCAGAUGUUCUUAAAGAUCUAAGACAACAGAAUAUCUCUCCAAACCAUUAAAGUUUGAAAAGCAAGUGAACAGAUGUUCAGUCCUUUCAUUUAAUAUUUCAAGCAGCUGUGUAACUUCACUGCGUUGAAUUCCACCUCCCCCCCUCCCCCCCAACAUUUAAAAACUAAACUGGGUUUAAGGUCAAGCCUGAUGACAGCCUGAGCUGGUUCUGACAGCUGUUUAAAUGUUUGUGACAUCUGCCUCAGAAGCUAGGAUGCGUGUCUCUCUUCUGCCUGAACUGCCGCACAACGGUUUUGUCAUUCCUCCAGGCAGUUUCCUCUGGUGAAUGACUCAAGGCGCAGGGAGCUGCUAAAAGUUCCUGAGAUGUCGGUUGCACACUCUUAACUGCUUCAUGGCCUUUUCAUCAGGAUGGGCAAAAACACAGAGUUUAAACUCUUUAUUAGCAACUUGGAGGAAAAGCAAAAGUUCUUGAAGAUAUUCCUUAACAUGUCUGAGGCACAUUUUGCUUCAUUUGAAGAGAUCUGUCACCACAUUCCUGAUGAUAGGUGGCUAAUUUCGCAGAGUACUCAGUCACAACAUGACAUUGUCCUUUCUUCACUCAAAAGCCUGUAACUAAACAACUUCUCAAAUGGCAUCUCCCCAUGAGGCUUGCAGCACGAGCAGACAACUGCAGAAAUUCUGGCAGCUUGCUGAUUAAUCCCUAACAUUGGGCUCAUCUGUUUCUGUAUUUAAUUCUCAAUAAGUCUCAAGAAGGCAGACUUCAACACGGUCAGGAAAUCAGCAGACAAAACCUCACGGAACAAUCUUAAGAGGUAGAAGGCCUGGAGAGACCUAGCACCUCCUUAAAAGCUCAUUACUAUAUUCAAACCACCUAGUGCAUGGAAAGGAUGGAAAGUUCCACAGAAACAAAUUGGUUAAAUUGUGAUCUGAAAUUCAUUUCUUGUCUUUUUUCAGACAGCUCCCACUGACAGCUUGUGUAAUGCUGACAUUAAAGGAUAUAUUUCUUUCAGGGUGUUUAGCAAAUUGCCACUUAAGGCUGGGCUUUGUGCUGAUCAUCUGCUUCUGUGUUACACUGCAGGGUAGCUUUCUCAAUGCAACAUAUGAACUUUUUAAUUUAAUUUUAUUUUUUAAGUGGAGAAAACCUUUGACUAUCUUUCUAUGCACCUGUAUGAAUGAUGUCUUACUUGCUGGGGCAUUGCAAUUUGACACAGGAUAGUAGCGAGAGCUGCCAUUAUUUAUAGCAGUGUCUUGUCAUUCCCAAAUCCGUGACCUAGUGUCUCAUGCUACGGGGGAGCAAAAAGAAGUAUAUCAUCUGUAAUGAGAAAUCAUCCCUAAAUACUUACUUCAACAGUAUGAAGUAUCUAAGGAAGGACUUAUAUAAUAUUUUGUUGUCUGUUUUGUCCUGUGAAGAUUUCAUGUAUGAUAUGGUCAGAGUUUGCUGUCCUCUUGUUUGUUUUCCUGAUGAAAUUUUGUCCAGUGUCAUUGAUUUGUGUUACCAUGAACUGGAUCUUAUCUGUCCCAAACUCAGUAUUUUCUCUGUGAGCCCGUCAUCACUUCUCUCAGCACUGAUGUGUUUCAUCAGAAUUGAUGCUGCUAUUCCUAUGUCAUCAGUUAUUUUCUGGAUGCCUGUAAGGUUUCCAAGUAGUCUUUGUUCUUUUGUUGAAACACUUCAUUCACUGACCUUACUCCAAAAGGUAAGCAGAGAAACGUGUUUCUGCCCCAGGGUGUACUGAAAGUGCACAGUUAAUAUCAUUUUUCAUCUAAUCUGACUUGUCAGUAUCCAUCCCUCCUACUGGGAUUACUUUUAGCAGGCCAGUUGGCUUUGACCAUUUACUAUCACAGCUUAGCCUUCCUGAAACUGCUGGAACUCAGGUAUGUUCAAGUUUCACCGUUUUUUGUCUGAUGUGAUGCUGUUAACAAACAGACUGAAUAUUUUUGUCUAUACUCCCUUGUUUCCUUAUCUGCUGUUUUGAACAGGUCUGUCACUGCAAAAGUACAGCUGUGCCUGGCACAGUCUGAUGAAUGCAGAUAUAUGUGGUGCUCCUUAAGGGAGACUACUAAUUCCUGGAAGACUUUUGGGUGUGGUCAGUGUUCUGUGAAGUUUCAUGUCUGCUUUGCCUUAAAACCUUGUGUUUGAGUUACACUGGCCUCCGAGAUACUCCCAAAGGGUCAAAGAUCAGCUUUUCUUCAGCCAUUGCCUUGUUCAGGUGACCUCAGAGUUUUACCUGGGACUCCAUUACUGCACAGGUAGUUCAUUUAGUUUCUUUAUCUGGACUGGGAUAUGGAGUCUAUUUUAAAAGCUGAAACUCAGCUGCUAUGCUUAACUUUGAGUACAUUUCUUGGAGUACUUUCUGCAUGUGCUGUAGAGUUUGUCCUAUUUUAUGAUACUGCACCCACAAGAGAUUAGUCACAUCUGAGUUCAGCCAGGGAUUUGUGGCUUUUUCCCUGGGGUGUAUUUGUUGUUUUGAAAAGCAAGAAUAGUGGUUACACAUGCUGGAUUUGUGACAGAAAAUUUGCACAAACCUGUGGUAAUGUUUCUAUCCAUGUAUGAGGCAUGCAAGUUUUUCUACUGUGACUCAAGGACCCCUGGGCCCACAUGCCUAUGCAAAUUUCAGACUACAGUGCAGACCUGAUCUCUGUCUGUGCAGCACUUCAGUUCUGCAGAUUAUGUCUUUCUGCAUGCCCAGAUCAGUCUUCCUCAGACACCUUUACACAAGUGAUUUAUCAGUGACGCUGAACACAGUUUUAUCUCUAAGCAUGUCAUUGUCAGGAUUUUCUGGUUCAAAAUUUCAAGCUUUUUGCCCCAGAUCUAUUACUUUCUUCCUAUCUGCUUUUCUUGGUACUGGUGAGACCAGAACUGAUAUAAUGCAAACACAGCAUUUUUUGUUUAUUUGUUUUUCUUUCACAGAUCACAGUAUUUCUAAAGCAUUGUUAAGGCAUCCUCUGGACUGGGAUUGUUUUCAGUUUGUUGCUUUGAUAACGUGAUCUAAAUCCCAGAAUCUCCUGAUCUAGUGAGUUCAGCACAAUUGCUACUUUCAAGUGCUACCCUGUUUAUCAGCUUUUGUCAACUUGUUCAAUGUGGGUAUGUGGGAUGCAGAAGGGGAGGUGAUUUAUCACUCCUGCUGCUCUGUACUUUUCCUCUGUUACAGGAAGUGCUACGCUCUGUAGUGCUACAUGGACAUUUGUAGCACUAAUAUGCAGUCUGAUCUAAAACUCUGUUUUAGAGUAAUAAUAAUGGCUCCUAUGGAGACUCCAACUAAGCAAUCCCUUAUCUGCUAUCAGACUCAGGAGACAUGUGACAUCCCUGCUGGGGAUUACACCUAAGUACAUCUAGAGAGACCAUAUCGGCAUAAAAAGCUAAUCUUCCUUGACCUACAGGCUACACCUCAAAGGAUAACCAUGUCACUAAUGCUUAAAGCAGGCAUAAGCACCUUCUGGAAAUUAACUUACUUUAGAUUAGGAAUGAUUUGGUAGAACAAAUCUACAUCUAGUGAUGUCACAUGUCACUGAAGUUUCCUUGGUCUGCUACUAACAGAAUUGUCAUAAGCAGGAAACAUCCAUAAAUAAAUGUAAACAUGUUUGUGUGAAAUAGUCCUCUAAAGUUGUAUUGGAUUUCUUGCUGUUGGUUUUCUCCCAGUGUUCCAGUACUGCAACAUGUCCUUAAAGAAAAACUAACAGUUGAGGCUGGAAAGUCAAUACAAGCAUAUAUAAAAACACACUCUUGCCUUCUUUCAUAGCAUCACUCAACAACAUAAAGAAAAACACUCAGCAAAUAAUAGAAAAUAAACAAAAACUGGAAGUGGAUUUAGGUUUUUCAGAUGUAGUUAGGGCACUAGUCCUAUCACCACCCACUAAAUGCUGGGAUUUGUAUGACAAUGUGAUCAAAUAAUUUCAUCUCAAUAGCUUUUUUUAAUUUUUAAGUAGUUAUGAGUAUAUUUCCUCUAUGGAAAUAUCAGGUCUAUGAAACAUCUGCUGGUUAUCCCAGGAAAGUUUGCUCAUUCUGUCCCUACUUACUCAUUUUUAGUUGUAAAUUUGGACAAAACUUAACUAAAAUUCAUUACCUUCUUCCCCAGCUGUAGUGGCUGUAAACACUACAAUCAUCAUCAUUAGAAGAUCGUUAAAGAAACUAGACUAGAUUGAAUGAGGUUGUGUCCCAUAUUAAAACACAGUUGUUGCAAAGCUGUAGAAAGUCUGGUUCAAAGGGUCAUCUCUGAAGUGAGAUGUUGAAUAUCAUCAUUUUUUCCUAUCAGUCCAAGAUAUGGCACUCUGUGUUUUGUUAAAUUGGACCCAUGCUCUGUAAUUCAUUUUACAGUGAAGCUAUUGUCAUAAUACUUUUGACAUAAAACUGUAAUGAUGGUAUCUGCCAAGAACUGGGUUGUUUACCAAGACAGAAGUGUCAUUGAUUUCUGCUUUCUUAUCGUGAUGACCCCAAACCCUGUAAUGCUGUGUUCACCAUCAGAACAGGAUGUCAGAAGAAGCAGCAAUGCUAAUAUGCAACUGCACACAGUAUCCCUGUUUCUUCUUUCUUUUGCACAACUUUUGUCACCCAUUUCUAACCAACUGCUAAGAUACAUCAACUAUUUGUAAUAGUGCCAUCUGGUGAUACCUACAGUAAUGUUAUAGUGUAUAUUUGCUAUACUUCUGAAAUAAACAUAUUACUUUCUCUGGUGCUUGCUUAUCAGUUUGUAUUCAGAAAACAAUUCAAAAUUUUCAGUUUAAAUUAGGUGACAUUUUACAGCUUUUGCAAUUAAAUUUUGACUUGCCACUAUUAAAUUUACUCUAUUUCCUAUAUCACAUUAUCUGAAGUGAUUCAAAUUAAAAAAAAAAAAAAAAAAGAUACUAAAUUUAAAAAGUGCCAGGUAUUUAUAAUUAUGUAAUAGGGAAUAUACAUAUAAAAAAUAAGUAUGCAAAGAUUUUUUUGUUCCUUCCCUGUGUAGCCCUAACUAAAAGCAAACUGCAGCUAAAGCCUCUGAAUUUAUCGCAACAGCAUAUAUUCCAACUAUGUGAAUGGGUUCCUCUAAAUGAUCCGUUUUUUUCAAGACCUCAAACAGGGGCUAAGUUCGACAGUUAAGAAUCAGGUCCAAGAGAGUAAUGUCUUUCCAAGAAAAUAGUGCAAUUUUCCCUAGUUGCAAUAAUAAUAGUUUAAGACAUAAUGUGAAUUGUAUGGUUCUGAAAACCAUGACUGUAAUCUCCAGACAAAUUAAGGGAUAGUACUUCUGUGAGUAAUUCAGUAGCUGAUACUUGCUCUUUUAUUCAAAAUAAAUGUAAAAUGAGCCUACCCCAAAUUUUAAAAAGAAAUACUUCUGAUCUUUUAUUAUUAUUAUUAUUUUUAAUUUCUACUUCAAUGUUACAUGGCAAUCUAAAAGAAGAUUUCUCUACAGCUAUAUUGUAAAGUAUGUAUAUUUAGAAAGGAUCUAUCUCCCUUUUGGUUAGUACUGGGUAAAAAGUGAAAUAACAUAUUCAUAAACAUGAUUGCUAAAUCCAGCAAUUUGAUUCAAUGACGUUUGUACCGGACCUCCUUUACUUUUCCAUGUGCUUUGAGGAAUCAGCCUUUUGUUAAAAUAAAUGUUUAGGAAAGAACCAUUCAUGUAAAUAUGGCUGUAUUAGCACACCAACAGAAGUGUUUAUAUGCAAACAAGCACAUACAAACAAGCAUAUGAGAAGCACUUUUAAACUCCUUUUCACUCUUUUUAAAUGCAAAUACAAGAAUGAAAUGAAAAUUAAGUCUGUAAAAUAGAAAUAAAUCUGAUUGUUCUUUUCAUAUUUGCUAGGCCAAAACCUAGAGCUAAUAUACAUAUUUAAAUGUCAUUCAAAGCCUAGAAUUUAAAAGUCUUGUUACUUUCCAUGGGAUUUAAGUCAUCUACUGGAUGAAAUAUGUUUUAUGUCUCAAUGUGACAAAAGAUAAAAACUGCACUGCAGUUCUCAAAUAAUAAGGAGGAUAUUCUGAAUAGUAGAGUCAUGAGCCCAGUACGUUUGAGAAUUGCUACUUGAAUAACCAUGAAAAAUUAAAAUGUUUAUAUGGAAAGUGUAGGUGAUUCAUAGACAAACUGCUACCUGCAAAAAGACAGAUAAGCAUAACAAAAAUUAAUAAAGUGGCCAUGUUGAAUACUGAUGUCCAGCAGCAAUAGUUGAAGACUUUUUUAUUUUAUAUUUAGAUGGAGUUUAUAUUUAGAGUCUGAGUUCUAUUCUUGCACCUGUAAUUACAAAUUUGGAAAAAUACAGAACAUAAUUUUGUUGUGCUAGGACACAAAAUCAGUGAGCAGUAUUGCCCAAUUUUUGCAGAAAAUAUGUACAGAAAUACCAAUUGGUGGUAAUAGAGCUCCAUGAUUAUUUCCAAAACAGAUUUUCAACUCUCCCUUCAGACAGAAUUUUUUGUGCUUAUGCUAACUCACAUUAGAAUUUGGCGAUUUGGAAAAUCCUUGAAUUAGGAAAGAAAACGCUUAAUUAAUGCAUGGAUUGAUUUAUACAAAGAAUACUUCAGGCACUUUUUAUGCACAUAAAAAAAUAUGGUUAAGCAGUACAGGCUCAAGGUAUGUGAGUCAACACCUGGAAGACUUAUUUAAACUUAACUAUAGUUUUAUUUAAUAAACAAUAAAAAAAACUGUAGGCAUUUAUGCAGUUUUAGGAAAUAUCAAAGUAAAGCCUUUUUCUGAUGUAGCUAUGCUUUAGGGCAAAACUGAGCCAUCAUAUCAAUAAGAAUUACAACUUUAUAUUUCAAAGAUCUACUUGUUAAAUCUUUUAAAAGUAGACAUUAUACUGAAAUCAUCAGAGAAAAGCCAUGCAUUGUAAUGGAAAUAUUGAUGAAAACAUGCCCAUUUUAAAAUUGUAUGUUUUAUAUUAGAAUGCAAUCUAAUUAAGUUCACAUAUGAUAGAUGAUAGAUGCUUUCUGAAUUGAGGCAAUUCCCCACCCACAGAAUUAGCAUAAAUUUUUACCUCUGAGGUGAGCUAGAAUGAUAAAGAACAUUAAAGCUGCUAAUGGGCUUAGCUAUUUGUUUGUUGAACACUAUCAGAAAACGAAUAAUAAUAUAACAAAACUGAAAAAAAUAAUCACAUGCGGAAGUCCCUCACUAAUUUUGUUUUGGAAAGUAUAGAAUGCUUUAUGUAUAU